rnacentral:rRNA from 1 species
CUCCAAGGCUAAAUACUCCUGACUGACCGAUAGUGAACCAGUACCGUGAGGGAAAGGCGAAAAGAACCCCGGCGAGGGGAGUGAAAAAGAACCUGAAACCGUGUACGUACAAGCAGUGGGAGCACAGGUUUACCUGUGUGACUGCGUACCUUUUGUAUAAUGGGUCAGCGACUUAUAUUCUGUAGCAAGGUUAACCGAAUAGGGGAGCCGGAGGGAAACCGAGUCUUAAUUGGGCGUUAAGUUGCAGGGUAUAGACCCGAAACCCGGUGAUCUAGCCAUGGGCAGGUUGAAGGUUGGGUAACACUAACUGGAGGACCGAACCGACUAAUGUUGAAAAAUUAGCGGAUGACCUGUGGCUGGGGGUGAAAGGCCAAUCAAACCGGGAGAUAGCUGGUUCUCCCCGAAAGCUAUUUAGGUAGCGCCUCGUGAAUUCAUCUCCGGGGGUAGAGCACUGUUUCGGCUAGGGGGCCAUCCCGGCUUACCAACCCGAUGCAAACUGCGAAUACCGGAGAAUGUUAUCACGGGAGACACACGGCGGGUGCUAACGUCCGUCGUGAAGAGGGAAACAACCCAGACCGCCAGCUAAGGUCCCAAAGUCAUGGUUAAGUGGGAAACGAUGUGGGAAGGCCCAGACAGCCAGGAUGUUGGCUUAGAAGCAGCCAUCAUUUAAAGAAAGCGUAAUAGCUCACUGGUCGAGUCGGCCUGCGCGGAAGAUGUAACGGGGCUAAACCAU